rnacentral:rRNA from 1 species
AGCGAACGCUGGCGGCAGGCUUAACACAUGCAAGUCGAACGGCAGCACAGUAAUAGCUUGCUCUGACGGGGUGCGAGUGGCGGACGUGUGAGGAAUACAACGUACUCUAGUUUUUCGUGGGGGAUAACGAAGCUAAACUUACUCUAAUACCGCAUACGACCUACGGGGGAAAGCAUGGGAUCUUCGCACCUGGCGCGAAUGAAUGAGCCGAUGACGGUUUAGCUAGUUGGCUGGGUAAAGACCUACCAAGUCGACGAUCCGUAGCUGGACUGAGAGGAUGAUCAGCGACACUGGAACUGGGACACGGUCCAGGCUCCUACGGGAGGGAGCAGUGGGGAAUAUUGGGCAAUGGGCGGGAGCCUGAUCCAGCCAUAGCGCGUCGGAGAAGGCGACCUUCGGGUUGUAAAGCCCGUUUGUUGGGAGAGAACAGCAGCAGGUUAAGACCCCGCGGUUCUGACGGUAACCAAAGAAUAAGCACCGGCUAACUACGUG